rnacentral:rRNA from 1 species
UUAAGUUAGAAAGGGCGCACGGUGGAUGCCUUGGCACUAGGAGCCGAAGAAGGACGGGACUAACACCGAUAUGCUUUGGGGAGCUGUACGUAAGCGUUGAUCCAGAGAUUUCCGAAUGGGGGAACCCACUAUCUUUAGUCGGAUAGUAUCCUUACGUGAAUACAUAGCGUGAGGAAGGCAGACCCAGGGAACUGAAACAUCUAAGUACCUGGAGGAAGAGAAAGAAAAAUCGAUUUCCUGAGUAGCGGCGAGCGAAACGGAAAGAGCCCAAACCAAGAAGCUUGCUUCUUGGGGUUGUAGGACACUCUAUACGGAGUUACAAAAGAAAGUUAUAAAUGAAGCGGUCUGGAAAGGCCCGCCAAAGACGGUAACAGCCCGGUAGUUGAAAUGGCUUUCCCUCCAGAGUGGAUCCUGAGUACGGCGGAACACGUGAAAUUCCGUCGGAAUCCGGGAGGACCAUCUCCCAAGGCUAAAUACUCCCUAGUGACCGAUAGUGAACCAGUACCGUGAGGGAAAGGUGAAAAGCACCCCGGAAGGGGAGUGAAACAGUUCCUGAAACCGUGUGCCUACAAGUAGUUAGAGCCCGUUAAUGGGUGAUAGCGUGCCUUUUGUAGAAUGAACCGGCGAGUUACGAUUUGUUGCAAGGUUAAGCGGAAAAAGCGGAGCCGUAGCGAAAGCGAGUCUGAAUAGGGCGCAUAAGUAACAGGUCGUAGACCCGAAACCAGGUGAUCUACCCAUGUCCAGGAUGAAGGUAAGGUAAUACUUACUGGAGGUCCGAACCCACGCACGUUGAAAAGUGCGGGGAUGAGGUGUGGGUAGCGGAGAAAUUCCAAUCGAACUUGGAGAUAGCUGGUUCUCUCCGAAAUAGCUUUAGGGCUAGCCUCGAGGUAAAGAGUCAUGGAGGUAGAGCACUGUUUGGACUAGGGGCCCUUCUCGGGUUACCGAAUUCAGAUAAACUCCGAAUGCCAUGUACUUAUACUCGGGAGUCAGACUGCGAGUGAUAAGAUCCGUAGUCGAAAGGGAAACAGCCCAGACCACCAGUUAAGGUCCCCAAAUAUAUGUUAAGUGGAAAAGGAUGUGGGGUUGCUUAGACAACCAGGAUGUUGGCUUAGAAGCAGCCACCAUUGAAAGAGUGCGUAAUAGCUCACUGGUCGAGUGACCCCGCGCCGAAAAUGUACCGGGGCUAAACAUAUUACC